ensembl:lncRNA
CCCAAGGAAAGCGUGGGCGCCGGGACAGCUCUGCUCUGCAGCAACAGGGAGGGAUUCGGUGUUGUGGCACAGUGCCUGCGCCUCUCUUGGCCUGCAGUCAUUAAUCAGGUGGCCAGACACAGCCUCGAUUGCUGAAGGCGCAAAGUCAUGGCCCCUCCAAGGUCAUUCAAGGCUCUGGAAAGUGAGUCAACUGAUAGCGUGCAGCAGCUCAUGGCUUAUUAGGCAGCAACACUGUGCACACCCCAGAGCUUCCAUUUUCCAACCCAGCCAGUGGGAAGUGUGUUCUCGAAGCCACAAAGAACCCACGCAGAGAGCGCCGCAGAGCAGAAGGAAACCAGCGGGUAGCAGAGAUAACUGCGUCCAGAGAGGGAGUGGGAUCUGCCCAGAGCUGCCCAGCAGACCAGCAGAACCCAGUUUGAGAAUGUCAUGUUUUGAUCAUCCCCUCUGCGGGCCCCCACACAACACACGCCCACUGGCCUUAGGUGUCCCAGGAGGGGCCCUGGAUGUGGCUGCUGCUUUACCUCGAAUGUAGAGACGCUCAGUAGUUUCUACAACUGCAGCAACCCCUCUGCAUGGUGGGCCAGAGCCAGGUGCCAAGGACAAUGCCAGAGAAAGGAAGACAUGACACAGUCCUUACCCUCCAGGUCCUUGGAGGUGGGAGGCCCAACUCGGACAUUCACUUUUUUUCAGCCCAGCUACAGAUUUAAGAUGCUAGAGACAGAG